CAGUAGCCGCGGGAAUACGGAGGGUGCAAGCGUUAAUCGGAAUUACUGGGCGUAAAGCGCACGCAGGCGGUCUGUCAAGUCGGAUGUGAAAUCCCCGUGCUCAACCUGGGAACUGCAUUCGAAACUGGCAGGCUAGAGUCUUGUAGAGGGGGGUAGAAUUCCAGGUGUAGCGGUGAAAUGCGUAGAGAUCUGGAGGAAUACCGGUGGCGAAGGCGGCCCCCUGGACAAAGACUGACGCUCAGGUGCGAAAGCGUGGGGAGCAAACAGGAUUAGAGACCCGCGUAGUCCCUGUCUCUUAUAC
rnacentral:rRNA from 1 species